AGCUUUGCACAGUGGCAGUAUCGUAGCCAGUGAGGUUUGUCUGAGGUGCGAUUAUUGCUAAUUGAAAACUUUUCCCAAUCGUCGCCAUGACGACUUGAUAUAUAGUCAGCGUUGGCAAUUUUUGGCAGUCUCUACGGAGA
rnacentral:snRNA from 1 species